GAGGGUAACAGCUCAGUGGUAGAGCACAUGCUUAGUAUGCACGAGGUCCUGGGUUCAAUCCCCACUCCCUCCA
rnacentral:tRNA from 1 species